ACUGAAUUGGUGGUUCAGUGGUAGAAUUCCCGCCUGCCACGCGGGAGGCCCGGGUUCGAUUCCUGGCCAAAGCA